CUGGCCUCGGAUACUUCCAGGGAUCCAGGGGCACCCUGUGCCAGGGCCUCCCCACCCUCACAGGGAAACAAAACUCACUCUAGAGCUGGGCUUUGGAAGGGGGAACAAACUGGUCCCAAACUGUGAGUGGUUGGGUUUUCCCUGCUCAGAUUCCACCACAGCCACUUCAGGGUUUUCUGACAGGUUCACCUUUCCUCCUCAAGCUCAUGCCCUGGCUAAGAUACAAAAAUAACCAACAGAGGCUGCAUUUUAUGGUCUAUUUGCUACUGAUAAAAAAGGGGGAUGCAUAUGAAUAUUCCUGACACACAAAUGGAAACUGGAACGUUUGUUUUCAGUCAUGAAUAAAAUGUACAACCAAAAGUUGCAGCAAGGUUUUGAACUCUGCAAAUUUGGAGAGGAAGGAGACUAGAUUUCAAGACAUUACUGCUAAAGGGUAGUAGGGAAAAAAAUGCUGUUUCCAUUGCUGAGUAGCAAUCUGCACAAACAUCACUGGGAGAACAUUCACUGUUCAACCAGCAGUUAUGUUCAGAGCUGCUGCUGCUGGUUUCUAACACACUGGCCAGGCAUUGGCUGGACUUUACUGAAUGCUGUGCUAAAGACUUUGUUCCUGUUUAUGUAUCAUAUUUCCUGUUUGAGUGUUCACUUGUGAAGUUUAAAACAAUUAAUGGCUAAUGUUACUACUUGGAAAAACCUGAUUUACAAGCUGUUGACAAAUGAUGUGUUUAGAAUAUACAAUCUUUAUGUAUAUUGGUAGAAGUGGGUGAUAGAGAAGUGUACUUAUUUCAUAUGGCAAAACUUGGGAUUUUUUUUUCCCCUUAAUGAAUAGCAACAAAUUAGAACCUUUGAAAGAAAAAUUAUCAGAGCAAAGAACAAGCUCUGCUUGUCUUUUCCCAGACAGGCUGGAGUAAGGCAUUUAAAUUCUCUUUGCUCAAGUCUCUCCCCUCUGCUUUGGUUGGGGCUACCACUACCUCAGAGGUUUUAUCCUGUUCUUGGAAAUUGGAAUAGGCUAAAGUUUGCUUUUUCCUUUGUCACUGGCACACUGAGUCUCUGCUGUAGGAUUCUACUCCUUGACUUACUAGCCAAAGUAAAGCUCAGCAUGUGAUUUAAUCCCAGGGCAGUAAGAAACAAAGCAGGUAUAUUCACUGCUUUAUGAAACCAUGCUACCAGGAGUUCUUCAGCCAGUGCAUUCUCCAGGGAGCCACAACAUGCAGCUGGAACAGCAAAAAGCUGGAAUUGAAAGCUAUGCUGACUUUCAUUGGGAAGUCUUCAGCUGUCUAGUGAAGAAGUCAGAGCUCCAGCUGUUUCCUCCACAUCUGGGCUCUCUAGUGCUGCUAGCUGCUGUUUGUGAGGUCCCAGGUGGAGGAAGGAAUGGAGGUGGAGCAGAGCAGCACUCUGAGAAGGAGUAAGGAGCUGUGGCCAAAGCCUUGAAGAAACUCAAGAGCUGCCCCAGCAGAAGCUUCUAGAAGAGUUAGAGGUCUUCAAUGCAACAAGUUCCCUUUUCCUCAUGUUAUUCCAGUGGUGUCCUGCUGUCCUGACUUUGUGAGGUUCCCAGAGUUACUCUGGACCCUGAUAAAUCAGACCUUAAAUAUGGAGAAAUUACCUGCACCUGGAGCAAAAACAUUUGCAGGAUGGUAGUCCAGAGCACAGGUGUAGGUUGAAGCUGAUAUGACAGAAAUAAUAUCCAAUCUCUAUGUCUUAAGAUACAGGACCAGUCUAUCAGGCUGUUGGCACAAAACAACAAUUGUUUUAUUGUUGGGCAAUCAUGGUCAUCUGCAAGAAAUCAGUUUUCAAAGAAGCGUUUGAUGGACUGACAAUCAUUUGAGCCCAGGAUGAGAUGAAAUGGUCCAAUUCAAGCUGGAUUGGGACUCACUUUUCUGGAGAGCACAUGAGUUUAGAAGAGAUUGAUGAAGCUGAAUUUUGAAACUAUCAAUUUUGUGUUUGAAGCGUGUUGGGAUCCAGGCUGGCUGCGAGGAUCAGAGAGCUGGGAGUUUAAGAGGAUGGAAGGAGGUGGCUUCCUCUGGAGAGUGGGCAGCACUGAGGAGGAAUGAUUAAAUGGUAUCAGAGAAGUCAUCCCCUCUUUCACCAGACUUUUACUACUUCCACCCUAUUUCUGGGACAGGGUGUCCUGUGAAGGGCCAGGAGCUGGACUCCACGAUCCUUGUGGAUCCCUUCCAACUCCAAAUAUUCUGUAAUUCUAUGAUUUUGGUGCAUUUAUUAUGCAGCAUUUAUUGUUCUCUAAUGCACUCAGGAUGUUUGUUUCCUACAUGCUUCAAUUUACACUUUUUGCUAUGAACUGCAUUUUGUUUAAUAUAUGCAAGGAACUUUCAAUAUUAUGUUUCAAUGUGUUAAUAUGGAAGAAAAUCAAGAAAACUCUUUCUUGGGUGGAAUUCAUCAGGUCCCCAGCUGGGAUGGUUGCAUUUUAGGUUGCUGUGGCUCCCACAGUGGGAGAAACCUCUUAGAUUUUCCAUAAUUUAUACUGUUUAUACUGAAUAUCCAGGCUCAGAAGCAGAAAUAACUUGGGGUUGUUAGGAUUUUUCUGGUCUUAUUUUCUUGAAUACCAGUAAGGAACAGCCAAGGCCUUGGUGAUCAAGACCCAACAGUGGCGCUGCUUUAAAAAUCAUUCAGGCUUUUCAGGUGUCCAACUUCCAAACUACUUAGGGCACAAGGGGAAAUGUAAACAUUGUUCUGUUAUUCAACCUACUACAUAAGAGCAUUGAGUUUGACAAGGCUCCAGGUACCCCCAUGUCCCGUCCUGAGCGAGAUCAGACGCUGAUAUCCCUCCCUGUGACAUCCAAUCUGGCAGGUUUGUUUUCACUCUAACAAUUGGCCACUGUAAAUGUUGGUUACUCUGCUUCGUGCCUGCCCUGCCAGAGCUGCUUCCAGGAGGGUUUCACUGCCUUUCUCAGCAUUCAAGCUUGUAGUAGUUUUUUCUGAAAUACAGUCAGGAUGUAUUUAAAUACAAGUUCAGGUGUGUGCUGCAUUUACUUAAUCUGUGCAAGGAGAGAGGUGAUUUCAGAUAUUCUUUUGAACUUUGUAAACUUUGUAUCAACCCCUUCUUUUUUUUUUUUUGUCCUUUUUUUAAGUAGAUAUAUAUCAUAUUAAAAAUUGUGAAACUUUUUGUUAUGGAAUUGGCCACAUUGGAUGAGUCUGUUUACAGGGCCCAAAGUUGGUGGCAGAGCAUGAGAUGAAUUUCAGGUUAUGCCACAGACAGAUUUCACACUGGACAGAGGGUGAGAAAUGGAGCUAAUGAAGCUGGGAGUGCUCAUUGCAGGAACUUGGUAGGGGAGAGGCUGAUGAGUUCCAGGAUUAUUACUGAGAGCAAAACUCGGUGUCUUUGUUCUGCACUGAUCUGCAGGGAAAGAAGAGUUGGAGCCGUCCCCUCUGCCUCCAGUGAGCACAAUCCAUGUUUAUACCCAGGAAUGGCAAGGCCAGGUCUGGCAAAUGCCAAUGGUCUGCCUCUGCAACAGCAUAACAUUUGAAAUUCUAAUUUAAAGUAUGAAAUGUAUAUAAGAAUUAUAAGCAGUAGUAAAUGUGCUCUGACCAGGCAGAAGAGAAUUACUCCU